rnacentral:rRNA from 1 species
AGUGAACGCUGGCGGUAGGCCUAACACAUGCAAGUCGAACGGCAGCACAGUAAGAGCUUGCUCUUACGGGUGGCGAGUGGCGGACGGGUGAGGAAUACAUCGGAAUCUACUUUUUCGUGGGGGAUAACGUAGGGAAACUUACGCUAAUACCGCAUACGACCUACGGGUGAAAGCAGGGGAUCUUCGGACCUUGCGCGAUUGAAUGAGCCGAUGUCGGAUUAGCUAGUUGGCGGGGUAAAGGCCCACGAAGGCGACGAUCCGUAGCUGGUCUGAGAGGAUGAUCAGCCACACUGGCACUGAGCCACGGUACUGACUCCUACGGGCGGCCGCAGUGGGGAAUAUUGGACAAUGGGCGCAAGCCUGAUCCAGCCAUACCGCGUGGGUGAAGAAGGCCUUCGGGUUGUAAAGCCCUUUUGUUGGGAAAGAAAAGCAGCAGGUUAAUACCCCGCUGUUCUGACGGUACCCAAAGAAUAAGCACCGGCUAACUUCGUG